UACGGAGGAUGCGAGCGUUAUCCGGAUUUAUUGGGUUUAAAGGGUGCGUAGGCGGCAUGUCAAGUCAGCGGUAAAAUUUCGGGGCUCAACCCCGACGAGCCGUUGAAACUGGCAGGCUUGAGUGAGCGAGAAGUAUGCGGAAUGCGUGGUGUAGCGGUGAAAUGCAUAGAUAUCACGCAGAACUCCGAUUGCGAAGGCAGCAUACCGGCGCUCAACUGACGCUGAGGCACGAAAGUGUGGGUAUCAAACAGG
rnacentral:rRNA from 1 species